AUCAUUGUCACGAAUGUUAUCAAGAAUGACUUGUUGCCUUGCUCUCAAAGUCUCUACAACUGCUCCUUCCCUUUCAAUAGCCUAAGAGGGAAACAAAAAGUUAGACAAAAUUAUUUCAUUAUUGGAAUGAAUUACAAAUUAAAGAAACCCUCUACAAUUGUUCAUUCUUGACUGCCAGAGACAUAGAAUAUAUACUACUUAAACAACUCAUGAAUUAUCCACAAGUUUCAUUCCCAUAUUUCUUACCUAUGAACCACAUCCCUCAAAAGGAAGGAGAAACAUAUAUUUAAUAUUCUCCAAUUCCGUUUAAACUUUAAAGUACGAUUAGUAAUCUAUGUUCCAGGCUGCCUAGCUAUUAUAACCAUACAACAUAUUGGAAAAACUACCAAAUGAACAUAUUUGGAAAAUAUCUAAAUUCCAAGUAAAUUGAAUCACUAAUCCUUGUGUUCACUGUCUCACUAAUCCUUGUGUUCACUGUCCUAGAUAUAGCCAUGUGAUUGAACAAUGCUGGCAACAUCUAACCUGCUGUUUUGCUAUUGCAUCAUCAAGAUGUUGGAGU
rnacentral:misc_RNA from 1 species